CCUACGGGGGACAGCAGUGAGGAAUAUUGGUCAAUGGACGAGAGUCUGAACCAGCCAAGUAGCGUGAAGGAUGACUGCCCUAUGGGUUGUAAACUUCUUUUAUAUGGGAAUAAAAUGUUCCACGUGUGGGAUUUUGUAUGUACCAUAUGAAUAAGGAUCGGCUAACUCCGUGCCAGCAGCCGCGGUAAUACGGAGGAUCCGAGCGUUAUCCGGAUUUAUUGGGUUUAAAGGGUGCGGAGGUGGAUGGUGAAGGCAGUUGGGAAAGUUUGCGGCUCAACCGUAAAAUUGCCGUUGAAACUGGCAGUCUUGAGUACAGUAGAGGUGUGCGGAAUUCGUGGUGUAGCGGUGAAAUGCUUAGAUAUCACGAAGAACUCCGAUUGCGAAGGCAGCUCACUGGACUGCAACUGACACUGAGGCUCGAAAGUGUGGGUAUCAAACAGGAUUAGAUACCCCUGUAGUC
rnacentral:rRNA from 1 species